CCAGACUCCUACGGGAGGCAGCAGUGGGGGAUAUUGCACAAUGGGGGGAACCCUGAUGCAGCGACGCCGCGUGGGUGAAGGAGCGUUUCGGCGCGUAAAGCCCUAUCGGCAGGGAAGAAGGAGGACGGUACCUGAAGAAGAAGCCCCGGCUAACUACGUGCCAGCAGCCGCGGUAAUACGUAGGGGGCAAGCGUUAUCCGGAUUUACUGGGUGUAAAGGGGGCGCAGACGGCGAUGCAAGCCAGGAGUGAAAGCCCGGGGCCCAACCCCGGGACUGCUCUUGGAACUGCGUGGCUGGAGUGCAGGAGGGGCAGGCGGAAUUCCUGGUGUAGCGGUGAAAUGCGUAGAUAUUAGGAGGAACAUCAGUGGCGAAGGCGGCCUACUGGACGGUGACUGACGCUGAGGCUCGAAAGCGUGGGGAGCAAACAGGAUUAGAUACCCGGGUAA
rnacentral:rRNA from 1 species